ensembl:lncRNA
AUCUCCUGGACAAAGGCUGCUUCUAGAGGAGUGUUUUGUGGCCAGAGACUUUCAUCACUAGUUGGGUUUGCCCACUGGGAUGUUGAUAUCCACUGAGCCCCUAAAAAUCAGCUGAUAGCAGUGUGAGUAAGUUCUGGGGUGCCAAAACCUCACUAAGAAGGUCACAUCUGGAAGAACUGAGAAGCGAACCCCACAGAAUUCAAGAUUGACCUGUGGUGGACUCCACUGUGUUUACUGCCAAUUUGGGAUGAUGCGUUGCUGUAAAGUGCUACCAAUAAAUGGGAAGUUUGGGCUAGCAGGAAAAGAACAGCAUGAUGCAAAACUAUACUCAGACCGGAGUGCUUACCAGUGUGUUUGCCAGACAGAAGGAGGUUUAUUUCCUUCUCAUAAGAGCUGCUAACUGCACUGCAGUGGUGGAAAUGACCGUGAACUUCAGAAUUCAAGAAGGCUGUUCUAAAAAAUACUGCAAAAAGUGUGAAAAUGCUCUAAAAGUAUAGCUGGUCAUCCUAAGUACAAAUGAGAGAUCUACAAGGUGUUAUUCCACCAGAGGAAGAUCCUGUACUCUGCAGUCCCACUACGGACCUGACUGUGGCAGAGGAGGAGCAGCCAUCUACUUACAGGUCAAUUCUGAAAGGGUACUCUGAAGCGCUGGAACAUUUAACUCACAGUGAAGAAAUACUGCCCAGCUUCUGUUCAACAUCAUCGUCAGCCGCUUGGUUGGGCGAUUCUGGCCAGUGCACAAGUGUGUUGAAACUUGAGGGAUGGUCCCAAUCCUCUGUUUCCUGGCCCAAGCAGGUCAACAAACACAAUAAAUCUGUCUUAAAUUUGGUAAUAUUUGUUCCAACUACGGUACAAUCUUUAGAAUAACACCCUGCUGCUGUAAAACAUGUUGAAAUACAGUGUUGCAUCAUCAGUGCUGUUUGUUACUACAGUGUUACUACAGUAAAUGGUGGUGCAAUGCAUACUUUGGAAUUAAAAGUACAUUUUUAAUACGGCAUUUUUACUUUGCGUAAGACUUACGAUCCAGGACAGUGAGGAUGUUGAUACAAUGUAAAAAGGUGAUAAAAGAGCCUAAUGAGAUUUGCUUGAU